UUCUUAAUGAAAUAAUUUUAAGUAUCGCCUGCUCAAUGAUUUUUUUUAAAUAGCCGCGGAAAUUUAACCGUGCUAAGGUAGCAUAAUCAUUUGUCCUUUAAUUAAGGACUCGUAUGAAUGGUGAAACAUUUAAUUUCUUUAUUAAUUUCAUUUUUCUAAUUUAAAUUAAGAAUAAAAAUGUUCUUAUAAUUUAAAAAGACGACAAGACCCUUUUGAACUUUACUUUUGUUUAGCUGGGGCAGCUUAAUAAAAAUUAUUUUAUAAAAAUUUUAUUAAAUAAAUGAUCCAGUAAAAUUGAUUUUAUGACCAAGUUACCAAAGGGAUAACAGCGUAAUAUUUUAUUUAAGCUCUUAUUUAAUAAAUUGAUUGCGACCUCGAUGUUGAAUUAAUGUGGCUUAUAAAUGUAGUAAUUUAAAAAGUAGGUCUGUUCGACCUUUAAAACAUUACAU
rnacentral:rRNA from 1 species